AUAAAUGUCUUAAGUAUUCUUGAUGUUAUUUCUUCGAUCCCCCUUUGUUUCUGCCAUUGUUGCUUAAAAGUAUCUCAGACAGGUACCUAGAACAUUUUAAAUGAAGAUAUUGUAGCUCUUCUUUUUUUCAGUUUGUCUUGACAGAUAAAGUGCCCAAAGAAACAGAAAAGCUGACAAAGCUUCCUAACUUGGCUUUCAGAGACCUUGCUCAGUGUUUUUGGUA
rnacentral:lncRNA from 1 species